rnacentral:rRNA from 1 species
GACGACGCUGGGCGGCGUGCCUAACACAUGCAAGUCGAACGGAGAUUAUAGCAAUGUAAUCUUAGUGGCGGACGGGUGAGUAACGCGUGGGCAACCUACCUCUAACCGGGGGAUAACACAGGGAAACUUGUGCUAAUACCGCAUAAGAUCAUAGGAGGACAUCCUCUAGUGAUCAAAGGAGAAAUCCAGUGAGAGAUGGGCCCGCGUCCGAUUAGCUAGUUGGCGGUGUAACGGACCACCAAGGCGACGAUCGGUAGCCGAACUGAGAGGUUGAUCGGCCACAUUGGGACUGAGACACGGCCCAGACUCCUACGGGAGGCAGCAGUGGGGAAUAUUGCGCAAUGGGGGAAACCCUGACGCAGCAACGCCGCGUGAAGGAUGAAGGUUUUCGGAUUGUAAACUUCUUUGAUGAGGGACGAAAGAAAUGACGGUACCUCAAAAACAAGCCACGGCUAACUACGUG